ensembl:lncRNA
GCUGAGUGGUAUUCCAUUGUGUAUACAUACCAUAUCUUUUUAAUCCAUUCAUCUGUUGAUGGACAUUUAGGUUGUUUCCAUGUCUUGGCUAUUGUGAAUAGUGCUGCAAUGAACAUGCAGGCUUGUAUAUUACUUUAUUAGUAUAAUUGAUAUAUAACACAAUGUAUAUAAUAAUUAUAUAUAACCAAUAUAUAAUGUAAUUAUAAGCAAAGCAGAAGUUAUACCAAUUAUGGUCCAUGACACUCAUGUUGUCAUUAAAAAGAUCACUUUUCAUUAUUAGUUAUGUUUUGGGGGGUAUAUAACUUUCCUAUCAGACUUUACUCAUUUACAGGCUGUGGCCUUGUCCUUUUUUUUUGCAUAGAACAAUGCUUGGCAUAAAAUAAGUAAUCAGUAGAUAUUUUAUGUUAACUGGAAAUAAAUGUAGCACCUCUUAAGAAGACUCUUAUGUUUUCACAGAUAAAUGAUGAACUUGGAGGAAGAGGCUACUGUUCAGUAUACUUUGUUCAUAAAUGCAGAAACAUCUGCUUUUGGGUCUUAGGGAGCCUUUUUUUUCCCCUUUACAUUUUUACAGGCUUGAAAGAUACUCGUGCUCCAUAAAUAUCUAGGAUGAGUCAUUUGCUUAACCAAACAGCUGCUUACUCAUUAGCCAAAUGCUCUUCACUUGAAGUCAGACACUUAAGCGGAUUUUCUCCCAGCCUCCCCCCUUCUCCGGGAGCCCAGAAAGUGAGGCACAGACAUUUUGCUGGAAUACAAAAGAGGGACAGAUCUGCCUUUGACAUGGGGAAGUCUAACUUUCAUGAAGCCGCAGGAAGCUAUCGAGCUCAAGUUAAUAAUCUGCUUGUAUGCAGAGUGACUGUCCCUCUAACAAACAUGAGGCUUGACUCUCAUUAUUAUCUCUUCCCAGUCAACCUGACCACCAGUUUUCCCAUUGAGGGUACACACUGGAAGGCUUUGUUCUUCUUUUCCUUCUGCCUCCAUCACCUGCCUAUUGCAUAGGUAAAUAGUCUGUGUCAAGAACCAUUGGCAAAAGUCAUUUAUUUCAAUAAGUACAAGGGAAUGAAUGUCAAGUAUUUUUGUAAAUCCUUUUGUAAAGAUGGAUCCACUCCUACGAUUAGUGGCUUUCAAUGAUCACUUUGGAUGGUCCAUCUAAUUUUGAAUGAUAAAUACAAAACAAUGACUUACAAUUUCUAUCCCAGACAACUACUGUUCAACUUUCUGCAGUGACCAGGGUGUAAAAAUUUUAACUUAAAGGUAGUUCUUUAUUACAGACAAAUUCAUUUCGUAGGAUGGAUAUUUGUUUCACAUUGCUCUCUCCCAUCUAAGAGAGGUGAUUUAUGCUCUUAGCUUCUUUAAGAACGGUGGACAUUGUCAGUAGUUCCUUCUUUUGGAAGACGAUAAAUGCCUGGAUGUUUUGGAAGAGGAGAUUGGAACUUUAAUUUCUAGAAAGACCAAAUAAGAGGAAAAAGAUACUGUCCUCCAGAAUUUACCUCUAUAGUUCUCAACAGAAUUCCAAUCAGAUGUGGAUUUUUUCAGUCUGCAGAGAGCAUCUCAAACAUCCAGAGCUGACAUUCAGCUAGUGCUGAAUGUCAGUAUGACUGGACAUCCUUGAAAGUACCUGUCGUUGAAUUCACUUUUAUACUAAAGGCCUGAGCCCCCCCGGCUCCCCUGUCCAUCCCCUGUGACAUCUUGCCUCCCACAAACAUGCCCUCUAGUUUAGUAACUAACAAGUUAAUAAAUAACUGAUUACCAGAGGAAUCAACAGCACCAGGCUCUAGCUAGACGGAGAGAUUCUGGUUGGCUACUGGUUAAAUAUUUUGAGGAUCACCUUGGAAAAAGAGCAUUUGUUUUCAGGUAGAGUAGGUAUUAAUUAUUUUCUGGGAAGCAAUCUGAAUGUGCUGGCUUUGGCAAUGAAGGUAUUUUCCUCCCUAGGACUUAUUUUCCUCAUCUGUGAAAUGGUGGGGGGGCCUUGGCUUAGUUUCCAGACUGGGGAGGUGGCUGAUGUGAAAAUCAGGGCCCCCCUUCAAGCAGAGGCUCCUCUUUAUCUGACCUACUCAUUAGGAUCCACUUGAACUUUGUUUGUUUGCAGAAAGAAUUUCUGAAAAAAUAGGUUUUGCUAUGUUAAAAAAAAAAAAUUAAAAAAACCCCCACCAGCUCAAAUGAAUGCUAUUCUUUCAUCCUAUUUUAAAAUUCUAAAAUUAUAACUAUAAUUAUUUUAAAAACACCAUAAUAAUAGCAAGUACUUACACUGGGCCUUCUCUGCCACUUACUGUUCCAAGUGCUUUACAUAUUGAAACUCAGUCCAAGCUAUAGACCAGCCCUAUGAGCUAGUGUUUUAAUUAUCACUAUAGCGAUUAAAGUUUAAAAAGAGUAUGUUCAGAUAUAUUUAUUUUCACUUUUAUGAUUUCCUUAGGUACAUUUGAGGUCAUAAUUUAUUCAAAGGUAAUAAUCCUGCAAUGACUAAUAAAAUCUAAAUCACAAUAUUUGUCUUGCCCUGACAUACUUUCUGUUUGGAAGACCAUAGAAAAAAUACAUUUUUGUGAUUAUUUCUAAAAAAUGACAAGUUGAAGAAAUACUGGACAUCGGGCGUCUCCAUCCCAGAGUACUCCUCCCCCCCGAUGGCUCAUCCAAUCACAUAAUUCUACAAUAAAAAGGGUAAUCUAGCUUACUAAGUGUGCAGAAAAAAUCAUUUUCCUCUUUGCAAUUUCUUUCCAUAUGCCUAAGAAAAGUUCAUUGAAAAGUUCCUACUUUGUUUGUUUAUCUUAGAUUUGUUCCCUCUAUUUUUAAAAAUGAUUUAAAGCAUUAAAAAGAGAUUUCUU